UGUAAGCGUAUACCAAAGUUGUUGCAGUUAAAACGCUCGUAGUAGGAAUUUGGCAGUUCCGGAUGUGUGCACGUCGUGUGCGCACUUCGCGGGGAUUGCUUUUGUGGUCUUGCGUAGGAUGAGGCACUUUUAUUAGUGAACGUCCUCACGCAACCACUUUUUACUGUGAGAAAAUCAGAGUGCUCAAAGCAGGCAUUUGCCGUGAAUGUAUUAGCAUGGAAUAAUAGAAUAGGACUUGGUUCUAUUUUGUUGGUUUGUUGGGACUGAGUAAUGAUUAAGAGGGACAGUUGGGGGCAUUUGUAUUUCGGUGCUAGAGGUGAAAUUCUUAGAUUACCGAAAGACAAACUGCUGCGAAAGCGUCUGCCAAGGAUGUUUUCAUUGA
rnacentral:rRNA from 1 species